GGGCUACACAGGUGAUGAAGGGGGGAACUGCAUCCUGGGAUCCGCAGUUUCGCCUGUCCACCCGCCAAAUCCUAAGAGUGGCUGAGCGCAGUUAUUGGGGAGUGUAGAAACAGGGUUUCACCAUGUUGGCCAUGCUGGUCUCGAACUCCAGAACUCAAGUGAUCCGUCCGCCUCGGUCUUCCAAACUGCUGGGAUUACAGGCGUGAGCCACCGCGCCCAGCCUUUGGGGAAGUUCUUUUUACCGUCCAUCAUCCAUUGCCACCACACCUUCUGCUUACGAGUUAUUUAUAAUAAGUUUAACUAAAAGAGAACGAGAGAACAUCCCCUGAAACCCAAAGUUUGUCAUUCUAUACAGCUUUCCUGCCUGCAAAAGAGGAGGAGCAGACUCAUCCAGCAAAUCACCUAAAAAGUUUGAAGAUCAAAAAGCCUAGCUCCAGUUUCAGAUCCUUCCCCUACCUUUCUGAACACUAGUUUCUUCCUCUGAAAAACGAAAGAGGGAACGGGACCGUAGAGUGGAGUGGGCACAAGAAUCGCAAGUCCCUUCUGGCUAUGACGCUGCAAGACUCUAGGUACAGUUUAGGACUCCGGGCAUUCAGAUCCCCGGGACUUGUCAAGUUCUCCUCAUUGACAUUUUUGAUAUUUCGUGACAACACAAAUUCAUCACAUUUUUGUGCUGUGUGUUAUAUGUGGGAAGGAGAUUUUAAAAAGAUUGCCUUUUGAAGUUAUUGGAUAGCUGUGUUACAGAAGAAAACAUUGCCUUCAAGAAGUUAUUGGAUAGAUAUGUUACAGAAGAAAAGACGUUUGUUUCAUUUUUGACUUUGCAGGAAAAGAAUAUGUAACACAUCAGAAUUCUUCUCUCCUCCCUGGCCUUAGUCGAGUACCUGAGGGGCAUUAAAGCACUUCCUCCUUGCAAUCACUUACCCAGCAUAGUCCUUAAUACAGAUAUCUUCAUUGUUGAAUGAAUGAAUGAAUGUUCAUUAUGUUUGAUUACCUUAGGUUUACUUUCCAAAAGUGUCUUACUUGAGGAAGACCACAUCUACACAAAAAAAUCAAACUUUAAAACAGAGUAAGAGACCAUUCACACUACAAAUAGAUUCUCGGUUUAUAAAAGAUGUGUUAUAGUGCUCCCAUAAAUAGUGAGGCACUCUUCUGUAUCAGAUGGCACAAAUUUGAUUACAUAUAACUACUAAGUGCU
ensembl:lncRNA CFAP95-DT CFAP95 divergent transcript